UUUACAGUACACUCCAGUUAGUGCCAUAUAUAUGGAUGUUUGUGUCUACCUUUAAGAAAUAUAGUUACUCUCAUUGAAACCAGCAUCAUAUACCUUUCAGAAUUCAGAAACUAUCCUCCCUUCAGUUAAGUGGCUAUACCAACAUGAGUGGGUGUGCUCUUUAUCUUUUUUUUUAAGAGCCAGCUGCUUUUAAGAAUUUAGUUUGUUACAUUGAUGAGAUACCAGCUUGUUAUUUGCACAAGCAUAUGCCGGGUACUCAUUUUACCGACCACGGAUGGAUGGAAGGCUGAGUGGACCUCGACCCCUUUUACUGGAGAUUCGACUUCCUCCUUCCGUUGGAAUCGAACUCUGGCCAUGAGCAGAGCUUCGUCUGCGUUACCGCUGCUUACCACUCCGCGCCACGGAGGAUCUUAGUGCUUGGGACUGACUAAUCUGGCUGUUUGGCCUCCUGAAGACUUUGUAUUUAAGGUGCUUGUAUGGAUAUGGUGAUUUCUAAUGAGAUUCUCAGCCAUGACUUGUGCUGGGAACUAUAAUUCCCAGGGGAGAGUCUGAGAAGGACCACCGUCAAGCACAAGCACCAACAUUACACAGGCCUAAGGAGAACUCCCUGAAACAGAUGAGCUUUUUCUGAACUCCCAUAAAGAAAGCCUGUAAAUAAUUAACAUAUUUGGACCCUGAUUUAUACAUGAAUCAGUUUUAUUUACUUUUAUAUGUUUUUAUACUGUUUUAUUGAUU